GGACCUCGUCGGGGCGUGGUGACCUGAGGCGACCCGUGUACUUUUCCUUCAGCGCUGACAUUCGGUGUGACCCUCUUCCCCAACAGCUGACCCUACCCUUCAGCAGCAAAGGGGACUUACUUAUCCCCGGUGGUGUUCACCGCCCAAAUAUCAUCUUUGGAUAUGCCCUUCAUCCUGUGACGCACCGCUAGGAGCAGAAAAGGAUCAUUGAGCAAUCUGAGGGAGUGGCGGUUGACGGAGGCCAUGACCCGCCCCUCGUGGGCUCCUUUGGCUCUGUGGCUAGGUCGGGGAGGAACUUUUUUUUAAGUGCCCGUGGAGGAAUCGUUCCGUUUAGCAGUGUUUGGGUGACGCGACACAAGAGUAUAAAAGCAAAAGUUGUAACCUCCACCUGUAGGAGUUAGUGACAAGGAGGGCUCGCUCUUGGGGCUAGUGGUGGGGAGGCAGUGGCCAGUUCAGGGCUCAGAUGAGAGAGGUGGCAGAAUUAGAGGCAGCCACUAGGAUGGGGGUGCGAGGAGAAGCGGGGCUAAGUAUAAAGGAGACUAGAUUUUGGGACAGUGGACGUGUGGAAGGCAGCUUCCAAAGCGCCUUUAACAAUCCACAAAGAACCAGCAGCUUUCAAGACCAGGCUAUCCCUGCUGUCUGCUGGCACUUGACGUCCAGGAGGGCACAAGUUUCACAGGCCUACAUGGGGGCAGUGUCCUAACUUGAGUGGCAGAGCAGCAGUUGAUGGAGACGGGUGGACUGGGGGCCCUUGAAGGCCCCGGAAAUCAUAGAGGACAGGCAGUGGGGCAGGACUAGGUGCGUAGUGGAGGUCGCCUUUGAUCUUGACAAAACCAGCAGACCCCUUUUUUUCCAGAUAAGGGGUUGUGAACCCACCUGGGGAUGAGGCCUGGUCUUAUGGAAGGUGGACUUAGCUUCGCUGGGCGGACAGCUCUGGCCCAGGGUGGUAUGUAAUUUGGGUGUGGCCUGUCUGCACCCACUUCGGGGUGCGAGGGGAGGCCGGAGGAGGCUGCAGAGACAAGUUGUUUUUACUGUCAGGUCUGCCAGGCGGGGACCAUGGAGAUUGAAGGCGCAAGUCUUGGGGCCACAUUAAUCACAACUUUAUUUUUCAGAUAGCAGUGCCCUCUCUGGACUUUGCCUAGGUUCCGUGCUUCCUCUUCUGUGGUCUCACUCUUCCCUACUCUUGCCCCUCACUCUGAGGUUAAGGGGUCACUUAAAACCUUGCCCCUGGGUCGUCCGGUAAGCCUGUGGAGGAUGUAGAGUCGGUGCUGGAGUCUUGGGCACGGCAUUUUGGUAAAGGUGGAGGACACCCUGACUGGGCGGGGAGGGAUGGUGUUGAUUCACAGAGGGCGGGACGUGAGUGUGGACCCUGGGGUGGGCUCACAGCCAUGUUUCCGGUCACCCAAAUGCUUCAUGGACGUGGUUUAUCACUAUAGUGUUCACCAUGGCAAGCAGAUGGCACCAGGAGAUAUGGAGCCCCUGCCAGUGUGAGUCGUAGCAGUGCAGGAGGGCUCACCCUGGAGGAGACAGCGGCCUCGGUUGACGCCUACACAGUGAAUUCCAGAGGCUUAGGAAGCGCGUCCCUGCCCUGGGUCCAGGCCUUUCUCAGGAAGCCCUGUGCUCAGGAGGCCAUCGUUGAAGUCAGCUUGUAGGGGGUGGGCAGGUGCUUCCAGCCGGAGGGGCCGUCGGCUGUGAAUGUUCCAGAUGAAUGUCUUGUUCUGGGAGCAUCAUUCUUUGCGGAUGCAUGAAUGGCAGCAGGCACCCUUUUUCAUGGGGGUAGAGGCGUUCGACUGCUGCAUCUUCUAAACAAGCCUCCAUCCAGCCUUUGUAGUUCUGUGCUGCGAACUUGGCCUCGAGAAGAUUGCGUAAGGUGUAGGACACUUUAACGUCUGCGCAGCGUGCUGCACUGUAGAUCGGGACCCCAGUGACCUCGCCCACCUUCCCUGCUUCUGCAGCCUGCCUGCCUCUGCAUUGGUCAGAGGGAUUCUUAACUGAAAACUUGUGGGUGUUGGGGAAAGCUGUUGGGUUGUAAAUGACUGGUGUGGAGGAAUCUUCCUUAGAUGGAGCUGGUUGUAAAAUGGGUAGGGUUUGUGGUUUAACAGUGGGAAGGCGCAAGUUAGCCACAAAUUCUGCCGACUUGGUAGAUGCCGUAUCUAAUUUGGGCUUUGGGACGUCUUCUGGACUAAAAGGGAUCCGUGGGCCCGAAGUGGUCCCUGGGAAUGGUCUCUCCCAGGGUGUGGAUUUGAUACUGGGUGGUUGAGUGGCAACAGUGGUUCUGGCCCCUUUUGUUCAUUAGCUUUUAUGACUUAGGGCCUGGCUGUGUAUACCAGGCUGGCCUGGGUUCACAGCCCUGCUCAGAUGACAGUGUCCUGAAACAAUGGCCUUCCAAGGUGAAACCUGAGUUAUGGAUCAAGCUUGGGAAUAAUACUUUUGGCACCAGAUAUGGGACUUGUGGGAGAAAGCAGGGCUCAGCUUGGCAUUGGUGGGUUGAAGGAGUCGGGGUGCGGGUGAGGAUUGUGCCUGGAACCGUGGGUUGAUGGGAAUAACAGUUUGGGAACUAAAUAGUUCACAUGAAAAUCUAAAGGCUGAUGGUAAAUCCCUGCAGGUGGCACUACUUUGAGAUGCAGUUGCUUGGAAAAUACCAAAAUCCUACAAGGGGAAGAGCAAAAUUGUUUUGCUUCACUGUUGAAUGGGGAAGGGUGACAUUGAAAAGCUUUUCUUAGUUGCUCAAUAGAUGGUUGUCACUACCCUGACCUAGGCAGGCCACAGGGGUGGAGCCUGGUGGGGGGAAGCUGAUUGCCAAGAAGUGAAGCUGGGGAGGGGCUUGUAAACGCCUCCCGUUGUGGGCUCUGAAACCAUAGUAUGGGGAGGUUGGCAGACUCUUCUGGGUCUCUAUUGAAAUUCUGUCAUACUGUGUGAUUAAGAAUUCCAAUGCUGCUAUCUAAAGGAAUUUCAUAUGGGAGUCAUGCCUUAUACAACACAUACAGGAAUUUAAUGUGUGAGCCAUGCCUUCAAAACACAUCUUGAAUUUCUGGAAUUGGCCAGAAGACAACAGGGUUUGCUUAUUUAACCUUUCAAAUCAGUCAUUGUGACAAGGGGACAGGGUCUUGCGCUUGCUAUGAGAUCAUUGUGAUGCUUGUAGAAACCUCAUGAGUGCUUUGCCACUGAAUACAUCCAUUGUGGGUUUGGCUUGAAUGGUGCUUAAAAACCAUCCCUGAGCAGAGGGGAAGCUGUUAAACUGUCAGUCAAAGCAGUUUGGGAAAUAAAAGAGACUGGGCCCUGGGUCAUCUUACUAGAUAACACUUUGUAAAAAUUGGUUCUGAAAACCCUGUUUAUUUGCAUAUUUGUGAAAACCCUGUAUAUGUGGUUGUUUUGUGAGUGUGCUUAAAAGUGGUGUGACCAGGGCAAGAUCGCUCAUUGGAACAGCUGUGUGGAAUGGGGAAAUGUGAAGAAAGCUGUAACUGCAGGUUGGUCGCACACGCUUCUCUGUACUAAAGUGUUCAGUGUACAAACCCACUAACCAUUUUCCUCCCCUUUACAGCAAAAUAAAGGUUUGAGAUUGAAGCUUCUUAGAAUUGUCAUGGCUGUUACAUUCUCGACCUCUGUCACUUUGCCUUCAUAUAGUUAGGCCUAGAUGCACUGCACCAUGGAAGCAGUUAGAGCAGGUCUGGUCUGAGCAGCUUGUCAACUCUCUGGGAGGGAAGGGCUGCUCACUGUGAGCUGACAAUGGCUGCAGACAUGACACUGAGUCAUGGGAUAAUGGCACUGCAGGUAAGGGAGUAUUCUGAACAUGAUCUAGAACAUUCCCAGGUUGUAUUCCAAAUAGUAUGGUUUUUUAGUUUGGGGAAAAUGUCUUAAUAUGGUAUGAGCUUUUCAUAUUUUCACUCUUAAAAGCUGGUGUGGGCUUGAGAUUUCAGUCUGUACAUGCAAUUCUGUCUGCCUGAGGAGCUGGGCUUUGGCUAUUUUUGGUUUUUUUUUUUUUUUUUUGGUACAUGACUAAGGUUUUUUACCAUGGGAAGGGUGUGGUCAGAAGCCCUGGGAAUCCAGGAAGUGGGCCACGCCUUGUAAACAGUCCUGGGUAAUGGUAGCUAAUCCAUUGUAGGAGCCAACCUGCCCUGAAUUUAGUUGAGUGGUGUGUCAUUAAAGCUGGAAAUGUUACUACUUAGACAGAUUGUGAGCUUAGAACUCUGCCAGCCUCUGCUAGGACUGGAGCCUGCUUGCUGAGAGCAGAGGGUAGCCUGUGGCUCUGUAUGGAACUGUUGUCUUGAACUGGAGUAGGUAGGAGACCAAGCAGAGGGUGGGAAGUGUCUUACUCUUCCCUGAGAGCCGCCAGGCUGGCUGUGUUCUCAGCUCCUGUGUAUUGUAUUGUUCUUUUUCUCGGUCAGUCUGUCAGUGACCUCUCUCUUGUGCUGAGAAGUCAGAAUGGGGUGUACCAGGAGUGCUGUCGAGGCUUCUGGGACUCCAAGGGUUAAGUGCUACUACAGCACAUGAGGGGGUUUCCCUUCACCCACUUUUUUUUUUCUUUUUACUUAUUUUGGUAUUUUGAGAAAAGGUUUCACUGUAUAGCUCAGACUGGCCUAGAAUUCAAAGAUCUACUAAUGACUGCCUCCCAAAUGUGUCUGGGAUUAGAGGUGUGUGCCUGUGCGCCGUCUACCUGCCUCCGUGUCUGGUUUAUCCCAGCGUCAUUCUGGUUUCUUACCUAGUUUCUGUGCCUCCAUUUUCCUCUUAUCGGACCUUUUGGGUUUUAUACUUACAAAGUUCUCCAUGUUGUGUCAGCGGUCUGGUAAGGAAUAUAUUCCCAGCUAUGUUAGAGGUGGCUCACUAACAAAUCAAAGGCUGAGCUCUCCUGUGUGGAGACUAUUAAUUAAGACUUGGCUUGAGUUUAUUUACUUGUUUUGAGACAUUCUUACUCUGUAGCCCAGGAUGGUACGAAGCUCAUAAUAAUCCUCUCUUAGCCUUGCGAGUGUUGGGAACACAGACGUGAGCCACGGGUCCUGCAAACACUGCUCUAUGCCCGGGGUGAUCGGAUGGCCGUCCUAUCAGCCACGGGUCCUGCAAACACUGCUCUAUGCCCGGGGUGAUCGGAUGGCCGUCCUAUCACCAUUCCUCAACCAGAAGCCUUGGAUUGGGUUCAUGCUCUGAACACCCAGCGGCAGCUGGGGUCCUGUAGCGCUCACGUUGAUCCUGUGACUGGAAUGCCGUGGGGCAGGGAGCAACAAACGGUCUUUAGAGAUGUUUAGAAACGUGUUCUGACAGCAACCAUAGACUCCUCCCAGCUUGGAAACACUGGCAAGUUCAGAUGUUGGCCUGCUACAAAAAGAGAAUGACGUUUCCAAUCCUGACAAUCCUGACAUGUGCCAUUGAGUUUAUCUUAGGAUGUCAAGCCACCAGAAGGACCUUUAAUGUGAGCUUAUGUCUGCAUUGCUGAGGGCCUGUGAAAGCAUUAACCGAGGUCAUGUCCAUGCCUUAGGUGCUAUUGCUGAAGCAAGUAAUAUAAGGGGUUUCUGACAGGCUAAUAUUUGUAUGUCCUUCCCAAAAUCUGGAUGCAAAUAGGAUUGUCAGGAAGAGAACAAAACCAAAAUAAGGUAUCAGGUGGGAUCCUGAGACCUUCUGGGACAGGAUGCCCUCCUCGCACCUGUGCUAGGCUGCUGAAGGCAACUGUCACCUGCCUCUGUCCUUCCCACACCUCAGUGGUUUCUUACUGAGUUCUCAAGCAUAAAAAAGGUUGGACUGUUAAGUUUUGCAGAAAAGCAAAUGGGGGAAAAACACUCUUUUCCAUUAACGAGCGUGCCGGCAAUGUCUCAGACUUUUCUCUUCCUGGGCAUCAGCUAUACGUACGCUUGUACAACAGUGGGAUUGUGCCUUGGUUCUGUCUGCAGCGGGUUCUCUGUGAUGCAAGGUGAGAACUGUGUCCUGACAUUCAAAGCAUCCUUUUAGUAGUUCCAAAUGCUCUACUGCAUUACUGUCUGAUUAAACAAUCCUAUUUACACACGAACUCGUGUGGAGGGAGAGGACGACUUCCUCCCGCAGCAGGUGCUGUCCACUGCUGGGCAGGCGUGCCAGCCGCCUUCAGCUGUUGGUUUCCUUUUGGGAAAUCAGGGUUUAGUGAGUGACUUGUCGCUCAAGCUCCUUCACCUCUGUUACUCCCUGGAGAUAUCAAAAUCAGUUUCUAGAAUAAAAUGACUGUCAAAUCUUCUUAACUUUAGGCUCACAUUGCUCAGCUGCUGUCCAGAGGGCUUUUUCUGAGUUACUGUUCUGUAAACGUUUCUGUAAAGCUGGUGUGUGCAUAGACCUCAGAGUAGUGUGGCUGGCCAGUGUACAUGGACAAUGUUAUGAGUCCAGCUUCCCUGUGUGUGUAUACAUACCAUUUGCUCACAGAGUGUCCUUAACAUGAUUUCAAUUGAUUGGUUGGUUGAUUGAUUGCCAUUGUAACAUUUUGUGGUCAGAUACACUCCGCAGAAACUUUAGCCAUUAUAAGUCCAGUUUAGUGGUAUAGCAGAUUAGAGUUGGACAACUGGCCUCCAGACUUUGCAAAAUCUGAAAUUACCCAUUAGGCAACUUAAAAUGUGGGUUUCCCAGUCCCUUUCUGUGAGUGUAUAUAGAAUAAUAUAACUUGUAUAUAGAAUAAUAGUGUUUCUCUUGUCUUAGUUAUUUUCGGUGUUAGGCGUGUGUAUGGAGGUCAGAGAUCCCAGGGCUCAACCUCAACCAUCAGGUUUGUGCCGCCGGCAACUUUAUCCACUGGAAUCCAGCGUUGAUCUUGUUGACUGAUGAUUUUUCAUCUUGGUUGUAUGAUUCUCUUUGCUUUCAUACAAGCUAAGUCAUUGGCAUUUUGUACCUUUUUCAGCAUGUGUGUGCUGGUAAGCAUGCUUGUAUUGCCUCUGCCUGUGGGCCUCUUGUUCUUGUGACUUCCCUGCUGUGGGAUGGAUGCAGCUAUCAUUCUGAGAACGCAUCUUCAGCUGUUUAGGAUACAGCACAGGCAUCCUGAUGGUUGUAGGGUGACAGACAUUCCCUGUGAUCUCCCACUCCGUAUGCCUAUUGGCCAUGUCCUUGGAGUCCUUUUUAUGCUUAAAAGGCUAUGGAUUUGUUAACCACGGUUGACCUGCAGGAUUUGGCUGUCUUCUGGGUGUUAGCUCUGUGAUCAGCUGUGAUUUCACUGACGUUUUCUUCCACUCCAUAAAGGUGCCUGCUGAGCUGUUUUUCUUUGUAGUUGCAUGUAUUAUUUCUUGUGUGUGUGUGUGCAUGCUUCCACUCAUCGAGUCUGUGUCACAGCACUCCUGAAGGUCAGAGGACAGCUUGUGGGAGUCAAUCUUACUUUCCACCCCACACAUCUGAGAGACCAAAUAUCAUUGUCCAUCAGGUUUGGCAGCCAAUGCCUUUACCCACAAAGCCUUCGUCUCAGCCCAAGUUUUACGCUGUGGCAUUGUUAGUGUGCGUUUGCUUUUGUUGCCUGAACUGUUGGUGUCAUAUCUAAGAAAUCAUUGCCAGAUCCAACGUCAGAAAGUCUGUAUUAUUCCUUUGUUUUCUGUUAUUGUUUUGUUUUAAAAACACUCGGCAAGUGCUCUACCACUAAAUUACAUCCUCAGACCUUAAAAGUGCCUCGUCUUAAUCUACCUUUCUGUAACUAUUGGCCAAUCACGAGUUUUACGGUUCAACCCACUGUCUGUAUUUUCCAUCUUCAACCAUAAUGACCUUGCAGUGUUUGUGUUUAGGAGGGUUAGCUUGGACCAGGUCUAUCAAACGUAUCUCCUUAUUUUCUCAAUUAUUAAGAACAAGAUAAAUAUGAUGUACAAGGAUUUAAACCAUCUAAAUCUGACCAUAGCUGAUAAGUUGCUUGGAGCUGGUUCUUUUUUCUCCAGCUGUUCUUGUCUGGGCUUGCCCUGUGGACAGAGAUAUUCUCACGCAGGCGGUUUCCUCCCACUGCUAGGAAUGGUGGUGAGCUAUCGCUCUGCUUUCCCCAAUAUCAGUCUUUCAUAAUCAUGUGUCUAAAGCAUUGGACAUUUCACGCUCUAGUUUUUGUUUUUACAAAUAAAAGAACAAUCUUAACUAUCCCGUUUAGCAUCUGGUAGGAAGGUCUGCUGACAUCAUCAGUAUCCUGUCCUUGUUGGACCUUGAAUGCACAAACUGGACGAAUCUUAGUCUCUGGCUCAUAGUGUGACGCUUUCAUUGCUUCCUUAUUUUUAAACAUUUGUCAACAUGUCUGACUCUUCCAUCAAUAUGAAAACCAAGGCAGUAGCAAAAGUAGCUUGCUUCCUGCCCGUGACUUUCACACUGCCCUCCGCCUGUCGGGGCCAAUAUCAUGCUAAAAAAUCCUUACCCAGUGGAUUUUUCAAAGUAGAUAUUUUGCUGUUUGUAACUCUGUAGAAGAAUUAAAUUGCUCGUGGUCUUCUGGAACAUUUGUUUUAAGUGGAUGGAAUUUAUCUGCUGCUGUGUACAGAGCUCCUUGACACAAGGUCACCUCUUCUAUAGCCUCGUUACAGGAGUAACUCAGACAGAAGCAGCCUGAGCACUCACAAUCUAGAGGUAACUGUGAUCAACAACACAGGAUAAGAUGUGUCCUGCUGAGACAGGCCACAUCCCUUUCUUCUGAGAAUGUCUCAGGAUGACAGGACUGCACUUAGUGGGGGCUUUGAGCACACAGCUGCCCUUUCUUACCCUGGCUGUGUCGCCCGCACGUUAAAUUUCAGUUUUCCUGCCAGUGAUGAAGAUGUGUCCCCUCUGUGUCAGGGAUCAACAGCUGUACUGUGAGAUCAUGUUCUUGGCAAUCCCCUGUUCCCCAUCUCGGUGGGUAGCAGUUGUGGGUCAGACAACUGCGGUGUUCUGUUGCCCUCUGCAGUGACAGCAGGCCCUCGGGCGUGAGUGUAAGAGUCCUUGUUGGUAUAUCUUAGGCACUUUGCAUAUGGAACUUCACGUUUCUGUUGGGUGUUUUCUUGGCUCUGUCACAUGUUCACAGUGGCCCAUGGAGACUACUUGGUAUGUGAGAUUCUUGUCAUCUAUGUGUAUAAAUUUGAUAUCCAUGGCUUAGUUGAUUGGGACCUGAGGUCUAAGACACAAAAGAGUGUGACUUUGCAAAGGUCUAAGUUAUUCUGUCCUGAGACAACUGAACUUUUCCUCUGCCAUCCUUGCAUCAGAGUGACUCUUCUAAGGAGGCGAAACUGCAGAUUUAAGGUAAGCCUGGGCAGACGCUUCUGUAAGUACUGUGUAAUGGAUAGGGCUGUAUACUAUAAUUGUAGUGACUUUCAUAAAUGACUAGUCAUGAACUUGGGAGUAAAAUACUUAAAAACUACAGUGUGUUAUCUUGAUGUCCCUCUCCUGUGUCUGGUGCCAGAAUUUCUAUUCUAAGACAUCUCCCUUUCAUGAAGUCACCCAAUAUUACUAAUCUGUUUUUAAGUGGAAUCAUGCAAUAUGUACUGUUUUUAUAACUCCAUAAUAUUUUGUCUUAUCAUGUAGACCCAAUAAUUUUGACCCUUUUCCUACUGAUGCCUUCAGGCUAUUCCAGGGUUUUCUGGUCGUUGCAGGCAAUGGCCACUGAGCUUUUAUUCCUUGGGACACUGAUGAGGCCAGGCCUGAAGGAGGCUGAGGGUUCCCGACUGCAGCUUCAGAUUCUCACGAAUGCUCUGACUCUCCACUCUUGAGUUUGUUUUGUUCAGUGGUUAGCAUUUCUACAGCCAAAAUCAACUUCUGGUCUCCCCCAGCCAUGAGGUUCGUUAGCGCUGGCAGUGUCUGCACUUCAUGUCCCUACCAGAACUUACCAGGUGGUAUUGGAAUGAUAAUGGACUUUGAGCCUCAGGCAGCUUUCUGGUUCUUACCUUAAACAGUUUAAAAACAGAAGUCAAACCAGGCAUGAUAAUACGCAGCGGCCAUGCCGCCCUGAGUAGUGGAAGCAGGAGGAUCAGGGUUUGAGGCCAGCCUCUGCUCUGCAGCCUGGACUAUAAAAAAACCUUCAUGAGGACGGUUAUGACGCUUGGGAAAGCUACAUUCAGACUUGCUUGUUCCUUCAGUACUCCUACACCACUCUCUAGAUUAAGGGUACUCUGUCCUCUAAGGCCACCAAGUGCCCAGGGAACAGGUGUGAGCUCCCUCUGUCUCGUCCUUGCCUCCCAGGGUCCCAGAGAGUCAGACACUGGAUGGUGGGGCCAGCUUCAGUCUGGCAGCCUCUUCCUCCACAGCAGGUUAUGUUGGGCUUCCUUUCACUCUGGUGACCAGUGUACUGUCCCCUCUGCUGACUGUGUAACCCCACAGCGCGUUCCCUCCAGAUUUUGCCCCUUAUACACACAGAAUGUUUAAAGUGAUACUUGUUCAUGUUAAAACUGCAAAUGUGUAGGUGACCUCUUGCUUUCCAGACAGCGCAUGGUGUGGUAGCAUGCAGACUUGCCACACCUUGUCUUGCACUUGGGACUGUUGGGCCAACAGAGCUGUAGCCACAUUUAGACUACCCAGUCCUGCUCGGGGGAACAACUGAGCUGUUUCUAGCAACACUGAGUGUAUUUUACUAAGUCUUAAAUAUCUAUUUACAUGUGUUUUCAUGUGUCGAGACAAGUAUGCCCGAGGAGAAGCAUGGGGACGCACACAGGAUGCACCAGCUAAGCCUUCUGUAAGGUGCUUCCAGUUGGCCUUCCCCACACCUUCACCAGUACUUGUCCCUAACCUUGGGCAUGCAUCAAUGUGAGAGGUGAAGGGUAAUUCUCAAUUGUAGCUUUAAUUGGUGUGCUUAUUGAUUUAAAGUGUUCUUUACAUAUUAAGGAAAGUAACCAUUUGUGUUGCAAACACUUCUGGUCCUCUCUGACUUUUAUAGUUUAUGACACUUUGCUGUUGAGCAUUUUAAAUAUACAGAUGUACUUGUUUAUUGGUAUUUUUUUCUGCAUCUUAUGAUGAGCUCAGAAAGCUUGGUCUAAUUCAACACUAUCCUUUGAAUCUCGUGCUUUUUUUUUUUUUUUUUUUUGGUUCUAUCUGGACUUUGUAAGGAGUGAUGUGUGGGUAGGAAGCCUCUUGUUGCUACACAUAACUCAAGUCACAGCCACCAGGCAGCAGCUGGUAUGUUUCUAUGUCACAGCCACCAGGCAGCGGCUGGUGGGUUUCUAUGUCACAGCCACCAGGCAGCGGCUGGUGGGUUUCUAUGUCAGUUCCAGGCCAAGUGCUGCAGUUGGAGCUUUGCUAUAUGGUGAGGGCGGUCCUACCUCCUACCUCAACUCUUCUCUAGUUUCCUGGUUACUCGUGUGAGUAUUCAACUGUCCCAAGUCGUCUUGAUUUUCUUCCUGUACAACAAUAAGGUAUCUUAUUCCGUUUUCCACCAGUGGCUUAACCUAACCUGACUGAAAUGUUUCUUACACUUGUGCAUGUGUGCCGGCGCAGGGGAGGGGCAGAGGGCAGUGUUGUUGGAUUGGGUCUCCUUCUACCACUCGGCUCUGGGGAUUAUUGAGCUGAGGUUGGCAAGCUUGGCAGCCAGCACUUUGACCAGCUGAGCCAUAUCAGUCAGUGCCCUGAGAUGGUGUGUGACCGGGUCAGGUGUGGUAGUGCAAGUCUUUCAUCCCGGUACUCAGGAGGCAGAGGCAGGUAGAUCUCUGAGUUCAUGUAAAGAGACUCUGUCUCAAAAAAUAAACAAGCCAGGCGUGGUGGCACACGCCUUUAAUCCCAGCACUUGGGAGACAGAGGCAGGCGGAUUUCUGAGUUCGAGGACAGCCUGGUCUACAAAGUGAGUUUCAGGACAGCCAGGGCUACACAGAGAAAUCCUGUCUCAAACAAACAAACAAAACAAGAACAAAAAACAAAGAAAAAACCAAGUAUGUAAAGUCUGUGGUCAGUAGCGUUAGCCUGUGCAGUUAGAGGACCUUGACCGACAUCCAGACCACGGGACCCGACUGGAUGUCUCACCCUGCCCCUGCAGGCCCUGUCCCUUCCAAAACAGGCACUUCUGUCACAGGAUACUUUUUUUUUUAACUUAAAUUUGCUUGGGGGAGGGGAGCAGUUCUAGUUCCAUGAGGCACAAAUGGAGGUCAAAGAGCAACUUGCCGAUGUCUCUUCUCUCCUCCCACUGUGUGGGUAGUAGGAAUUGAAUCAGGUUAUCGAUCUUGGGGCUGAGCCAUCUCUGUGGCCCACAGAGCACUUAUAUGUGGUUACUUGUUGCUCUCACAUUGUCAGUGUACAGCUUGGUGGCCUUUGUCACUGGCGUGCUCUGUGACACUGUUGUGAUAAAAAUGUUGAUGAGUUUACACAAAUCUAGUAAAUUGAACCCAAGAGCCAAGUGUGGUGGUGUACCCUUAAUUCCAGCACUUUGGGGGCAAGUUCAGGUAGUUCUCUGAAUUUGAGAGCCUCCUGGCCCACAUAGUGAGUUCCAUGGCUGCGUAGUUGCAAAAGAACACCAACACCUUUCCCCCACAAAUAGAAUUGUACUGAAGGUCACAGUCAGAGAAAGCAUAGCAAGGAUGGCUGCUCUGAGCCCCUCCUGUGCACUUCUGUAGACCUAGCCCCGGUGUCUAAAUGGAGUCUGAUUUUAGCACCUGCACUUGACUGCUGUGCUCCACCCUGACCCGCCUUCUCCUGAUCCCAGAUUGCUAGAACUUUGACCAAAAUGGUACUUAAUUGUAGUUGUGAUUGGUAUGUUCAUUGAUUUAAAGUGCUCUUUACAUUUUAAGGAAACUAACCAUUUGUGUUGCAAACAGUUCUGGUCCUCUCUGACUUUUACAAUUUAUGACACUUUGCUAUUGAGCAUUUUAAAUAUACAAAUGUACUUGUUUAUUGGCAUUUUUCUUGCUUUUUGCAUUUUAUAACGAGCUCAGAAAACUUGGUCUAAUUCAAGACUGUUUGGUGAACUGCUUUGUUUGCCUGACUCCUUUGGCUCUAUCUGGAGUUGGUGUGAUGUCUGGGGUCAGGAAGUCUGAUGUGGCUACACAUUUACUGAGUGACAUAGGACAAAAUGGACUGCAUGCUGGCUGAGCUUCUCAGGCCACAGUGGGAACCAUUAGAAAAAAACGUUAAAUCAUUGUUCUCAGAUGUGUUCCCCAUGAGGUCCAGCCAUUCCCACCCAGCAAAUGGCUCCCUCAGCCUGGUAGUUUCAUCUUUGAUUUUGAGAGAGAGAGAGAGAGAGAGAGAGAGAGAGAGAGAGAGAGAGAGAGAGAGAGAGGAAGAGAGGAAGAGAGGAAGAGAGGUAUCUAUUUGGUGUGGGGGCCAGGACUCACUAGCUGUAACAUCUAGAACAUGUUACAUGUCUGUCCAUGUCAGCCUUCUGCUUCAUCUGUGGACACUUCUGUCCGUCUGCUGUACAGAAUGGUUUUUAGGUUUGCAGUUUGUAUUUUAAGACCUCAGCAAGUCUUUGAAUCAGUCCUGGCAGGCUUUGCUGUCAGCGUGUCAUGCAUAUCACACGUUCUUUGGAUCCAUUUUGACGUUUAACCCUUUCAGCUUCCAGAAGUUGCUUUGGUGUAUUGCGUGAGGUAAUAUGACUAUUUUUAAAUGACUGUUUUCCUUAGCAUCAUAAAUUAUUAGCUAAAUAAUUCCUUUGGCCUAGUUGUCUGGAGCUGCCUUUCCUUAGGCUAUCCCAGCGUCCUAUUAACUUCAUACUGUUUGAAUACAUCAUGAUACGGAUACCUGUCUCAUGUGUGUGCAGCUCACAGAUAAUUUGUGCUCCACAGACAACAGUGUGACUGUUGAAGGGCUCAGUGACCUGUGCUUACACGGCUUGUUCAGGUCACAGGCAGCUGACGACUGACUCAGCUCAUGUAUGUUCAGUGUUCUUCGGUCCUGGGGACAUGAGCAGGCACAGGACAGGGACCUUGGAGUUUUCUUUAUCAGCACUCCUGCCUCAGCAAAUGAAGGUCAGCCAACACCCCAUUGCUACCCAGAUCUCUUGGCAAACAGACAUUUUUAGUAGGACAGAGCCAAGGCUUCUUCAUGUAGGCUUUGUAUAUUCAUAAGAUUUGUUCCUUGAAGUGGCGUGUUUUGGCGCGUGGCUGGUUGUGGUUUUCUGUCAAAGUGUAUGAUGAUGGUAGCUCAUGAAAAGACAUGUCCACCCGUACUCUGUCUUAAAUGUAGACACUGGCUUCCCCACAAAGGCUGUUGGGGAGGCAAACAGCAUACUGGCCAGAAAGACACUGUGUAAGGACACCAGCUCUCACCCUGGACUGUCUCUUGUUUACUUCAUAACCCUCUUGCUCCCUUGACUUUCCUGUGUAUAAGAAGGGUUAAUCAUUAUCUACCUUGGACUUGAGUUAGGGCUAAAGAAAUAACACAUUGUGCUUGGCACUCCUGACCCAGGAUAGACCUGGCCUUGUAGGGUUUCUAGCCAGGAACGGUUGUCUCUGGUGGGUAUGUUCCAUGGAACCCAUCCAUCUCCCAUGCAUCUCUCCUGUUUUGUUAGCGUUAGCUACACUUAAUUCACUGAGAAACCAUGAACAUCAUAGCCGUGUUCCACACAGCCCACCCGUGGGAUCCAUCAGCAGGUGAAGCAGGAUUGCACUGGCCAGGCUGUGUGCCGACCCCACCCGACCUGACGCUGCUCUGAGAGGCUCUGGCUCUGUGCUCUGAGAGGCCCUUGCUGUUUGGUGCACAGGAUGGGCUGGAGUGUCCUGCUUAUAAGUUUGUUGUGUUGUUGUUGUUUUGCUUAUAGGGUUUUUAAAUUUAAAUAGUUAUGUAUUUCCAUGUUCCUUUUUUAUUUUUGGUAAAACUAUUAGGUUUCCUUUUUAAAUGUUAAUUUUUGGAAAAUUGAUUUAUAACAUGUCUCCAGAAUUUGUGACUUUGAGGUAGCAGUUCUGUGGUUGGUAUGUGUGAUGUUGUGAGCUGUUGACUCGUUCAUUGCUGCAGGUGGAGGCUCUGUGCUCACAGCCUCCUAUCUGUCCUUCCUUCCCACCCCCAUGGCCUUUAUGCUUGCCAACCUGUGAACCUGCCUGUACUUGGUCCCUCAUGUAAGUGUAUGCAUCCGUCUCUUCAUGUCUGUCUCACCUCACGUGGUGUGGUCUCUGUGGAAGUGUAUGAUAAGAUCUUUAUUCCUCACUGUGGCUGAAUAAUAUUCCAUUGCAUUGCCUUAGCACAUCUCGUUUCGCUUCUCCAUCCCAUCGCAGGUCUGAAGUGUUUCUUAUUGCGUGAUGCAAACAAUGCUGCUAUGAACACGUGUGUUCAAGUCUUUAUGCGAAAGUGUUUUACAUAGUUUAUGUACAUAGAGAAGAGCUACUACUUCCAGACGGUACAGUAGUUUAACUGGAUCUGAGGAGCUGCUUUUGUGUCCCGAGCCCCUGUUGACUACCUCUGCCCUGAGGCCCUGUCUCAGCUGAUCCUUGGUUUUUCAAGUAGGUUCUUACUGGUGCGUGAGUGAGUGAGUGAGUGAGUGUGCAUGCGUGUUUUUUUUCAAGACAGGUCUUCUCUGUAUAACACCUCGGGCUGUUCUAGAACUUGCUUUGUAAACCAGGCUGGCCAAGAACUCAGACAUUCUCCUGCCUUUGCCUCCCGAUGCUGGGAUCAAAGGCGUGCGGCCGCCACCCAGCUGACCGAGGUCCUCUUGAUUGGCAGGCAAGCAUUCUGCCAGAGAGACACAUCCCACAGCAUAAUUAAUGUAUACAUUGUGUGUAUACCCGUGUGGACGCAGAGGACAAUAAUUAAUGUAUACAUUGUGUGUAUACCCGUGUGGGGUCAGAGGACAACUUGUGGGAAGUGAUUUUCCUCCGCCACAUGGCCCAGAGAUCAAACACAGGUCGUCAGGCUUUGCAGGUGUGUCACCUACUGAGCCCUGUCACUGGUCACAUCCAUGUGUUACAGGUAGUUUGAAGGCUACGAGUGUAACUCAUAUAAUAGAGCUUGCCUACGGCUUUCUCUCCGCUACUGCGAGAAUGAAAAAGCGACCCUACUGUAGAGAAAGCCAGCAACUGGCUGCUUCAGGUUCCAUGCUGCUGCGUCCACAGAGACCACAGGUCUUAGGUAGAGGAAAGGCAGCAGCACCUGUGUGACUGUCCCAGUGAGGGGACACUGUUCCUCCUAUGAGCAUGACGUGCAGGCUCUGUGAAGUCAUCCACUUAUUUGCUUGAUUGAGCAGAAGAUUUUAAUUUUUAAAAGCCAUGACGUUAGAUUUAUUCAGUUAUUCAGCCUUUCUUGUGCUUUUUUUUUUUUUUCUUUCCUUUUGAAAGAAGGGUUAUUAGUUAAAUGGCGGCGGCGGUAACUGUCUUCUGUGUUGCUGGGCCUGCUGUCGUAAGGAGCUAGGUUGUGGAAGGAUCACACACUGUCUUGAUGCCCUGGAAGACAAGGGCCCCUUCUGUAUGCUAUGCCCCUCGUCCUCUUUUCAGACCCCACUUCUGGAGUCGAGCAAAGACACUCAAUUUCGUGCCCGUCAUCUGGGCUCCGUGUGAGACCGUGGUUCCCUGAACUGAGCCUGUCGCUCGCUGGUCCUCAGAAUGCUGGAGGGUUUCUGUGGCCUUCAAGGGCCUUAACACUGAGCUGUAAUCACCAGGGCACCCAGUGCUCACUCUGGCAGGUGGGUGAGCGAGCACCUUGACUAUGAGACUUGGGGUGUUGUGGCUGUAGGAUGGAUUUGUCUUUCUGCAAAUGUCUGCCCCCUGAGCUUAACCAGUGCUCCAAAGAGCAACUGUCCAUCCUUCCAUAUGCAGACGUGCGCCUUGAGCCUGCAGACAAGAUGCUGAGUUAACAUCCAACACUUCAAAUAUGUGCCUUCUAGAGCAACAGCUGAGCAGGGGCGUUAAGGCUGUAAGUACAGGGAUGUUUCCUUAGAGGGCCACUGCAUGGGGACCCGCGCUGUAUGUCCCAGGCCAGUCUCAGCGUCACACUGAUGGUUUCAUUAAUAUCAAUACCUCAUCUAUGAUUGCUAAGCCUAAGCCAUUCCCAGGCCUAGAGGUUUUUUGUUUGGGACAGGUUCUUACUAGUCAGCCCCUACUGGCCGGGAUGGAACUUGUAGACCAGGCUGGCCUCCUCAGUGCCUGCCUGCCCCAUGGGACCUUGACUUUUAUUUUGCUGGCAUAGACUGUGAAGACCUACCUGAAUGUCAGGAUACUGCCAGGGAAGAUCGAGACCAGGAUAUUAAUUAUUAGAGCUGAUUAAGAGGUCUGGUCUGAGCACAGCUUUCUAGAUGUUUCUUACGUUUUGUUUUUGGUGUUUAGUUUUGUUUGUUUUUUAAGGGACAAAAAUCUUAGCGUGUUAACCAGCUGGUCUCAAGUGAUCUUCCUUCCGUAAUCUCCAAGUGGCUGGACCCACAGGGUGCCAUUGACCCAGCUACCUUUCUUUGCAAUUAUUUUUGGUAUGUGUGUUAUAUUUCUGUGUACCACAUGCAUGCAGUAGAGACCAGAAGAGGGCAUCAGAUCCCCUGAGCCUGGAGUUAAAUGGUUGUGAGCUGCCAUCUAGGUGCUGGGAUUUGAACCUGGGUCCUCUGGGUGAGUGGUUAGUGCUCUUAACAGCUAAAUGAUCUCCACACCACCACCACCCCAGCUGCAUUUUUUAAAUCCUCAACAAUGAAGUGAGGAUGAGUAUAUUGUAAGUGAGGGGCACGAUAUGGGGCAGGGGAGGGCUGCCCACACCUUUGUGACACUUCUCUUCAUCCUACAGAGUACACAGCUAUGGUGUCCCAUGACACCCGGGUGUUUGGUGCGCCUCACUGGAGGCUCAGUUACUCUCAGAAGUCAUUGUUCUAGGGUUACUGGACUGUGUGAUAUUUCUCUCUCACUGUAAGUCAUAAUGUGUUAAGACUUUUCAGGAAAAUUACUAGUGUAGAGGCUUUCCUGUUUUUUGUUUUUUUGUGGGUAUUUUAUUUUUUUGUUGUUUGUUUUGGUUUUAAUAUAACUUGACAUCCUCAUUAAGAAUUGCCUUUCCCCUGGUUUAAUUCCUGGUUUUUUUCUCUCGAAUAGACUCUGAAGACAUCCAGUCUGACCUUUAACAAGAAGCUUUAGAUGACGCAAGCAGCUCUCUCUGGGUUCUGUUUUGUUUUGGUGCUGGAAUGAAACCCUGUACACGAAAGGCCGACCCUCUCCUGCUCAGCUCUGUCCCCACACCUCUGCUAAUGUGGAGAGUUAGUGCCACCUGAGUUUCAUGAAUCUUUCUCCCUGGUCUCCUUGGAUUCUGUGUUCUUAUGUUCAACCUACUUAUGCCCACCCAGGUUAUCCACUCCUGUCAGCAGGAACAGGAGGUGGCGGUUGGAGUCUUGCUCUGCUUCUGCCCUUUGGCUACAGGCAAGGUCCUCGGUUGCUGAUAGCGAAGCGUGUUUGAGGAGGCCACUUGAAACCCCUGAGGAGUGAGUGUUUUGCAAAGCACGUGGGGUUUCCAGCAAAGGAAAACAGUGAACUAUUGGCCAUGGUUUCAAAGCAGACCCAUGAACAAACAAAGUGACUGGCCCUGUCCUGCUUUUCACUGGAACAGGCCUCAGAAGGUGAUGGCACAAGCCAGGAGGUAACUACAGAAGAAUGUAGCAUAGCCAGGAGUGAGAAUAGAAAUCACUCCGAGGCUCAGGAGGCUGGGGGCCUGCCACAGCGGUGAGGGCGGCAGGUGAGCAGGGCUGGCUGUGGUCCCUAGGCUUAUAUAUUUAGUAGCUUUGCUCUCUCUGCUGUGUUUGUAAUUUAGUUCUGCUGGAUUAUUUAAACUUAGCCCUCCAGAUUCCAGGUGCUUAGCCGUUGUUCUUUCUCCUCCCCCAUGGUCCAUGUGCGCUGUAAUGCAUAGCGAUCUGAGGGAGUUGGAAUGGAGUCUGAACUGCAGAACAUAUACAGGACGUAUAGUACAGCUCCUUUAUUUUAUUUUUUUGGGGGGGUCAGGGUCUCACUGUGUGUAGCUCUGAGUGUCCUGGAACUCACUCUAUAGACCAGGUCAGCCUAGAACUCAGAGAUCCCCAGGUAUCUGCCUCUAUUGAUUUUAGUUGUUGUCUGUGGUUUUUUUGCUUUGGUUUCUUCUUUUGUUGUUGUUUUUUGUUUGUUUGUUUGUUUGUUUUUUGGGGCGUUGUUUUUGUUUUUGUAGCCCUGGCCAGCUUUGAACUCAUGAUCUUCAUGUGUUGGCCUCUGAAGUACUGGGCUCACAGGACAGGCAUAUGCCAUCACACACAGCCACUAAUGGUUAUAGACGUUUUAUCGCAGAUGAGAGAUGUUUGUCACAUUGGAACAACCCCUCCAGUGUUCUGGGAAUAAAUCCAUGAUUGUAUCCUUGAGCAAUGAAAGGUUUGAAUGGCGUUUUCCUGUCAUCACUGCAUCUGUGGCUGAGUUACCAUCCCGUCCUCUACAGCCUUACCUACAUCUCACACAUACACACUCACUCACACACAUACACACACACUCACACAUACUCACACACACACUCACACAUACACACACACACAUUCUCACACACACACUCUCUCACACACACACACACACAGAGUUUUUAUUGCAGUGAACUGGUUUCUUUUUCCCAGUUGUGGUUGUUGGUUGAAGGUUGUCUUCCAUGUGUUAUGGUGGGGCCUAGCUACUAACACUGAGAUCAUGUGACGCCCCUUGGGUUGAGGACAUACCUAGAAGCCAUUUAACCAGUGGUCUUGUUCCUUAUGUGACUCAACUCUUGGGGUUCCUGCAGUCACAGAUGAGGGUCCUGUCACCCCCAUGUUGAAUUAAUCCUUUGCUCAUCUUACAGGAUGUGUUCUGACUCCCCCCAUUUCUGAGGGCUUGUAAGGCCCAAGCUCUCUGAGUACCUCUCAGGCUGGGACUUAGAUGGCCGUACCUAUUCCCUCUGCUGUGAGUAAGUCUGCUUUCCACCCAGUGGGGAGCUGAAGGGAGGCUGGGAGAGAAAGGGGUACCAGCCAGAGGGCUGGGGCGUGGGAGACGGGGAUGGAAAUGCUGGGGUCUGCAGGGACCAGCCUACCUGGCAGUCCACAAACCUCAGAGUGUGUGUGUGUGUGUGUGUGUGUGGUGUGUUUAUGUGUACAUAUGAGCCUACUAUGUGCUUGUAAAUGUGUACAAGUGAUAUGAGUGUGCCUACUGUUUGUGUAUGUGAUCUGGGUUUUUUGUUUGUUUGUUUUUUGUUUUUUUGAGAUAAUGUAUCUCAGUGUAGCCCUGGCUGUCCUGGAACUCACUCCAGUAUGUGUGUACAUGUGAGUCUACCAUAUGUAAAUGUGUGCAUAUGAGCCUACUACAUGUUUAUACAUGUAAAUGAAUCUACUGUGUGUACAUGUAUGUCUGUGAGCCUAGUAUUUGUUUGUAUAUGUGUUCAUAUGAAUUACUGUGUAUUUGCAUAUGUGUGUGUGUGUGAACCUGUGGUGUGGGUGUGGAUAUAAAGUAGAGCAGACUGCUCAGAUUUCUGGUUAUGAGUUGAGAGGACCCUCUUCUCAGCAUGGCCUGACCCAGGCUCUCUGGGCACGUUACAGCCUCAGACCCUCAGUUUCCCACCUGGACCUUGUGGAGAAUAUGGAUUCCUGAGCCUCUUUAGACUCAAAGAAGGGGAUCCACAGUCCUCCCCAUGACUCAAAGAGGACUGCAGGGUUUAUAGGGUGCUCUGUGCACCUUGCGGCUCUGGGACCUUCGUGACUCUCCUCCUUGGAACCUGGAUGGCAUGCUAGAGCUCAAAAACACCAGAGAGCUGAUGGGGAUACUAUUUCCGGACGGACUUACAUUUCCAAGCCAAGGCAGUGCCCUGGAAGACUCCUGCUGUGACCACAAGCUCAGAGAAUGGAAGGCAGGUGGACUCACUCAUCUGUGUGACAUAGGUAGCCAGGACCCAGCAGGUUUGGAGAACCCGUUCGCUCACUGCACUUGAGUUAGCCCAAGUGUUGAAAGCUCCCUUAGUUCUGAGACCUGUUUAAUUGUGAGUUAUUGGCAUAAAGUUGGAAGCCGUGGGAAAAGUAUAAAAUGAGAAUAGCAACCCUCUUCCCCUCUCCUACCUCCCCACCACACAGAGGCAGCCCUCGGGUGGCUUAGGGAGUGUCUACACACACAGAGCUUACUGCACCAGACCCUGUCUCAGAGCAAUUAGGCUGUGACUUGUGGUUCAUUUUUUGGAGUCUGAUUUCAUGCAUGCACUUCUCAUGUAGGGUGGGGAACACUCACUUGGAGGCAGGGGGACAUGAGUCCCCUGGAGCCUUUGGCAGGGCAUCAGGACCGGCAGGAGUGAGCCUGGGAGGGGCACGGAGCCGCCGCAGGUGUUUCUUUUCCUGACCGCGGCUCAUGGCCGCGCUCAGGUUUUGCUUUUCACCUUUGUCUGAGAGAACGAACGUGAGCAGGAAAAAGCAAAA
rnacentral:lncRNA from 1 species